rnacentral:lncRNA from 1 species
GAAUACGUGCACUUUACGAAGACCUACCCGCUAUAUUGAAGGGUUAUUAAAUGCAUGGGAGCAUAACGUUCUAUUAUUAAGAGGAAUGAAUAGGUGGGUAUAAAGCUAUAUAAUAUGUCAUGAAGUGUAAUCCCUUACAUAAAAUCCCUAAAGGAUUAAAACUGCAUGAAGUAAGUCCGUGAAAGACAUAUGCCUAAAGAACAAAAUUUGUACUCGAUACGAAUAUGUAUAAAUUGCCUCAGUGAGUACUUUCAUCAUGAUAUGGCUGCAAGGCAUUUCAACUCCUGAAGAGUUGAUAGUUGAUAAAAACUCCUUCAUAG